rnacentral:rRNA from 1 species
GACGAACGCUGGCGGCGUGCCUAAUACAUGCGAGUCGAACGAGAGCACCCGGUGCUUGCCCUGGUCAAUCUAGUGGCGAACGGGUGAGUAACACGUGGGUAACCUGCCCAUCAGAGGGGGAUAACAUCCGGAAACGGAUGCUAAAACCGCAUAGGUCUUCGAACCGCAUGGUUUGAAGAGGAAAAGAGGCGCAAGCUUCUGCUGAUGGAUGGACCCGCGGUGCAUUAGCUAGUUGGUGAGGUAACGGCUCACCAAGGCCGUGAUGCAUAGCCGACCUGAGAGGGUGAUCGGCCACAUUGGGACUGAGACACGGCCCAAACUCCUACGGGAGGCAGCAGUAGGGAAUCUUCCGCAAUGGACGCAAGUCUGACGGAGCAACGCCGCGUGAGUGAAGAAGGUGUUCGGAUCGUAAAACUCUGUUGUUAGAGAAGAACAAGUGCUAGAGUAACUGUUAGCGCCUUGACGGUAGCUAUCCAGAAAGCCACGGCUAACUACGUG